rnacentral:rRNA from 1 species
UACGCAGGGUGCAAGCGUUAAUCGGAAUUACUGGGCGUAAAGCGUGCGCAGGCGGUUUUGUAAGUCUGACGUGAAAUCCCCGGGCUUAACCUGGGAAUUGCGUUGGAGACUGCAAGGCUGGAGUCUGGCAGAGGGGGGUAGAAUUCCACGUGUAGCAGUGAAAUGCGUAGAGAUGUGGAGGAACACCGAUGGCGAAGGCAGCCCCCUGGGUCAAGACUGACGCUCAUGCACGAAAGCGUGGGGAGCAAACAGG